rnacentral:rRNA from 1 species
CUGGCGGCAGGCUUAACACAUGCAAGUCGAGCGGGGGAAGGUAGCUUGCUACUGGACCUAGCGGCGGACGGGUGAGUAAUGCUUAGGAAUCUGCCUAUUAGUGGGGGACAACAUCUCGAAAGGGAUGCUAAUACCGCAUACGUCCUACGGGAGAAAGCAGGGGAUCUUCGGACCUUGCGCUAAUAGAUGAGCCUAAGUCGGAUUAGCUAGUUGGUGGGGUAAAGGCCUACCAAGGCGACGAUCUGUAGCGGGUCUGAGAGGAUGAUCCGCCACACUGGGACUGAGACACGGCCCAGACUCCUACGGGAGGCAGCAGUGGGGAAUAUUGGACAAUGGGGGGAACCCUGAUCCAGCCAUGCCGCGUGUGUGAAGAAGGCCUUAUGGUUGUAAAGCACU